UACGUAGGGUGCAAGCGUUAAUCGGAAUACUGGGCGUAAAGCGUGCGCAGGCGGUUGUGCAAGACCGAUGUGAAAUCCCCCGGGCUUAACCUGGGAAUGGCAUUGGUGACUGCAUGGCUAGAGUGUGUCAGAGGGGGGUAGAAUUCCACGUGUAGCAGUGAAAUGCGUAGAGAUGUGGAGGAAUACCGAUGGCGAAGGCAGCCCCCUGGGAUAACACUGACGCUCAUGCACGAAAGCGUGGGGAGCAAACAGG
rnacentral:rRNA from 1 species